rnacentral:rRNA from 1 species
AUAGAGACUCAGAGCUGCAUAUCAAUAAGCGGAGGAAAAGAAACUAACAAGGAUUCCCUUAGUAACGGCGAGUGAAGCGGGAAGAGCUCAAAUUUGAAAUCUUCAAGGUUCUACCUUGACGAAUUGUAGUUUAAAGAAGUGUUUUCUGUUAGUGGAGUUCGGUAAAAGUUCUUUGGAAUACGGACAUCAUAGAGGGUGAGAAUCCCGUAUUUGACCAUUACUUUCCAGCUUUGUGAUACACUUUCAAAGAGUCGGAUUGUUUGGGAAUGCAGUCCAAGAUGGGUGGUAAAUUUCAUCUAAAGCUAAAUAUUGGCGAGAGACCGAUAGCGAACAAGUACCGUGAGGGAAAGAUGAAAAGAACUUUGAAAAGAGAGUUAAACAGUACGUGAAAUUGUCAAAAGGGAAGCGUUUGACACCAGUGUUGUUUAGUUGAAAAUCAAUUCAAUAGUUUUUGAUUCUAAGUAGUAUUGACUUCAUCAGCUUGCUGCUUUCUUCUCAGAAAUUAUUGAAUGCACUUUUCAGUUAACAAGUCAACAUCAAUUUCAUUUGUUGUAAAAGGGUAAGAGGAAGGUGGCUUGCGCUUCGGCUCAAGUGUUUAUAGCCUUUUAUCUCUGCAAUCGGAGAGAUUGAGGUCUGCAGCGUAGAUCCUUCGGGGUUAGAUACAUUGGUGCUAAGCUAUAGCCUUGUAUAGACAACUUGUUGACUAUGCUCAGUCAUGUAGCUUACUCGCCGAUGCUAUUUUACCUACGCUUAGGAUGUUGACGAGACUGUCGAUCUC